AGGAGACUUCCUUUUGGAAUACAGAGGUAAACUCAUACCAAAAGAAGAAUGUGAGCGGAGACACAGUGUUUAUCAUGACAGCCUGAAGGUGUUCAUGUUUGAAUUCAAGUUUGAUGGAAAACUCUGGUGUGUGGAUGCAUCUCAAGAAGAUGGGUCAUUAGGCAGACUUGUCAACGACAACCACAUCAGUCCAAGUGCUAAAAUGAAAAUAUUAAAUAUCAAUGGAAAGCCUCAUCUAUGCUUAUUUGCAAGCAGAGACAUAAGUCCAGGCGAAGAAAUAGACUAUAAUUAUGGUGACUCGGAUUGGCCCUGGAGAUGCAAGGCUGAGACCAGCCAGAUUGAGAAGACUGUGAGCUGCCUAAA